rnacentral:rRNA from 1 species
AUUGAACGCUGGCGGCAGGCCUAACACAUGCAAGUCGAACGGUAACAGGGAUCAGCUUGCUGAUUCGCUGACGAGUGGCGGACGGGUGAGUCAUGUCUGGGAAACUGCCUGAUGGAGGGGGAUAACUACUGGAAACGGUAGCUAAUACCGCAUAACGUCGCAAGACCAAAGAGGGGGACCUUCGGGCCUCUUGCCAUCGGAUGUGCCCAGAUGGGAUUAGCUAGUAGGUGGGGUAACGGCUCACCUAGGCGACGAUCCCUAGCUGGUCUGAGAGGAUGACAAGCCACACUGGAACUGAGACACGGUCCAGACUCCUACGGGAGGCAGCAGUGGGGAAUAUUGCACAAUGGGCGCAAGCCUGAUGCAGCCAUGCCGCGUGUAUGAAGAAGGCCUUCGGGUUGUAAAGUACUUUCAGCGGGGAGGAAGGGAGUAAAGUUAAUACCUUGGCUCAUUGACGUUACCCGCAGAAGAAGCACCGGCUAACUCCGUG